GCUCCUCUCGAUCCCCUCCCCUUCCUCCCCGCUGUCGCGAGGUCGCACCCUCCAUGCCAGCCCCUCCCACUCCAGCUGUCGCCCCCAUUCUCUCCAGAUCCAAUCCAAGUCCCCCUCGUCCACCGCCCCCUUCCUCCCGUCACUACACGAACCUCGCCGCCGACCCACCCCUGGUCCUCCCGCCACUUGAGCGCGCCACCCACCGCGUCCACAGAGACUGCCGUGGACCUGCGGUGCACGAGCUGGAGGACGGCGGGGGAGGCCAACAACCUGGCGCCAUGGGCCGUCGUGCCGCAGGACUGCGUGUCGCACGUGCACGCAUACCUCACUGGCCCCGCCUACCGCUUCGACCUCGACCUCGUCGCGGGUAGGCCUCCGCCUACGCCCGCGCCGCCGCCGCCACCGGCGCCUGGGUCUUCGACAUCGACGAGACGCUGCUCUCCAACCUUCCCUACUACGCGCAGCACGGAUACGGGCUGGAGCUGUUCGACCACCGGGAGUUCGACCGGUGGGUGGAGACGGGGGAGGCGCCGGUGAUCCCCUCCAGCCUCCGCCUCUACAGGGAGGUCCGCGACCUCGGCUUCAAGACCUUCCUGCUCACCAGCCGCAGCGAGGCCCACGAGGGUAGAAAGAGCUGCCGUGGACCUGCUAUGUAUGCCAUCAUAAAAGCCUUCUGUGUUGCUUUUGUCAUGACAUUCUUCUUUGUAUUUGCCGCUGUGCCAGUCGUAGGUGCUGCUGCUACAUUUGGCGGAGCUACCGCUGCCGCCCCAAAGGGCAACCUUCAUCAGACACUACCUCAUAACAGUGCCUCAAAGUUCUGUGCCCCAUCUCCCCUCUUUCUAAUUUACCAAAAUAAAAACAUUGUAAAUACUAGUAGGAAAACAUGUUAAAUCUUUUGUGUAUAGAACUGGAAUAACCUUGCAGUUUGGUUCCGCAGAGUGGUAAAUUCAAGCUUACGCUUUAUGGGUUUGUGUUCCUUGGUUUUAUUUUCCUUUUGAUCUGUACUGUGAGUUGGCUAGUUCUGCACUUGUCUUCUUUUUUUCAACCUUGUUUCAUACUAGUAGAAAAAUAUGGAACCGGAACUAUCAUCAACUUUUGUGGGAAAUACUGAUCUUGACAUUGUGACAAUUCAUCCUGGCGUGACGUGGGUACCGUUUGAGCUUAUUUUGUGUAGUGUCCACCUAAGAGCGGUGAUUUUGUUGUUACGGUUCAGAAUAGUGUUUUUAUACUUGAUCAGCGCACCUCAACUAUUAUGGUUACUUUUGAUUUCUUCUAUGUAGUUGUCCAGGGCAUGAUAGUUUUAUGUGUGGCUUGUUAUUGUGUUACCAGCCUACUUUCUUGUACUGACUCUACAAUCAGUGACACAGCUCUUAUGAUUUUUGUAUUACCGAUGGCUUAAUAUUUAAACCGUUUAGCUUGAUUUAAAAUUCAAAUCAUAGGGUUUUUUAAUCUCAUUUUGAAUUGUUUGUAGUUGCUCCAGGUCCUUCUCUAGCCGUGUUUAUAACUGUCUUUGUUCCUUUUUUGAUAACAGGACCAGUUUGACACGAUUGACUUGUCGGACUACGAGAUUGUCAAGCUUGACAACUUCCCUUUCAUGAAUCGCCCAGCGAGCCCGCACCUGAUUACAACUUACAAUGAGAGGGAGCAGGUGACGCCCAGGGAGCUCAACAUCCGAGUCCCGGCCAUCCUUCACAGCAAGGACGAGGACGGCGUCAAGGGCUGCCGCGUCGCCGGAGCCGUCAACAACUACACCUCCCAGCUCCUCACCUACGGAUCAUCAUCACAAUCGCCAUCUUGUAAAUCUUCCCGCCAAUGUAAUGUUUAGUUAGAUCAUACAAGCUUCAGCACAUCACUUUUGGUUGACUGAAUUCGUACUGAAGAUGCCAUGUUUUUCUGCGUGGAAUACUGCAGAUAACCUGACGGAAGCGCUCUUGUUUCUCUCACAUUUCA